rnacentral:rRNA from 1 species
GACAGAGGGUGCAAACGUUGUUCGGAAUUACUGGGCGUAAAGCGCGUGUAGGCGGCUCUGUAAGUCGGGUGUGAAAUCCCACGGCUCAACCGUGGAAGUGCAUUCGAAACUACAGGGCUAGAGUCCUGGAGAGGAAGGUGGAAUGCUUGGUGUAGAGGUGAAAUUCGUAGAUAUCAAGCGGAACACCGGUGGCGAAGGCGGCCUUCUGGACAGUGACUGACGCUGAGACGCGAAAGCGUGGGGAGCAAACAGG